GCUUCACCUGAGGGCCGUGCUGAGAUGCUCUGAGAAGAGCAGCAGGAAAAUGGCCACGAAGGGUCACUGCAGGAGAAGGUGCUUGCUGACAGGGUUGCUCCACCACUGAGCAGGACAAGGAAUGGUCUUUCUGCAGAGAAAGCCAUGGAAAAUCCCCUUGCUGGGCAGGGAAACCCUCUGCGGAAGUGGAAACGGAGCAUUUGCGCUUGGAAAAUCACAAAGGAGCGAGGGAAGCUUGCACCGGCAAGACAUUUCCCAGAAGUGUGCUGCCGGCAGUGUUCUUUGCCCUGCGCAGCCUGACGAGCGUUCGGGUUGAUCCCGGCAUCUCCAGGAACGGCAGCGGGGCCAGGCUGGGGAUGCAGGAUCCGGCCCUGAGCCCCUGUGCGCACGUCGUGGCAGCAAGUCCUCGGUAACAAAGCCGCCGCACGGAAUAAAGGAACGAGGAUUCAGCUUUAAUUA
rnacentral:lncRNA from 1 species